GACGAACGCUGGCGGCGUGCUUAACACAUGCAAGUCGAACGGAAAGGCCUGCUUUCCCUUGUGGAUUGCGGGUACUCGAGUGGCGAACGGGUGAGUAACACGUGAGUGAUCUGCCCCCAACUUGGGUAUAAGCCUGGGAAACUGGGUCUAAUUCCCGAUAGGACUGCAGGGUGGUGCCUGUGGUGGAAAACGAUUUUCUAGUGGUUGGGGAUGAGCUCGCGGCCUAUCAGCUUGUUGGUGGGGUAAUGGCCUACCAAGGCGGCGACGGGUAGCCGGACUGAGAGGGUCAACGGGAUCAGUGGCACUGAGAGACGUCCCAAACUGCAUGGAAAGACAGCAGUGGGGAAUAUUGGCAAAAAGGGGCAAGCCAGAAGCAGCGACCGCGGGUGGGGGAUCACGGGCUGCGUGUAGUAAACGUCUUGCGAACGCGAGAAAGACACCUGGUUGGAAGGGUGGUGACGGUAGUAGGAGAAGAAGCACCGGCUAACUACGUG
rnacentral:rRNA from 1 species